rnacentral:rRNA from 1 species
AGCAGUGGGGAAUAUUGGACAAUGGGCGAAAGCCUGAUCCAGCCAUGCCGCGUGUGUGAAGAAGGUCUUCGGAUUGUAAAGCACUUUAAGUUGGGAGGAAGGGCAGUUACCUAAUACGUGAUUGUUUUGACGUUACCGACAGAAUAAGCACCGGCUAACUCUGUGCCAGCAGCCGCGGUAAUACAGAGGGUGCAAGCGUUAAUCGGAAUUACUGGGCGUAAAGCGCGCGUAGGUGGUUUGUUAAGUUGGAUGUGAAAUCCCCGGGCUCAACCUGGGAACUGCAUUCAAAACUGACUGACUAGAGUGUGGUAGAGGGUGGUGGAAUUUCCUGUGUAGCGGUGAAAUGCGUAGAUAUAGGAAGGAACACCAGUGGCGAAAGCGACCACCUGGACCAACACUGACACUGAGG